UGGCUGGCGCAGCUACCAUGCAGUCGAACGGUAGCACGAAAAAGCUUGCUCCCUGGGUGGCGAGUGGCGGACGGGUGAGUUGUGCAUCGGAAUCUGCUCUGUCGGGGGGGAUAACUUGGGGAAACUUACGCUAAUACCGCAUACCACCUAAAGAUGAAAGAGGGGGAUCUUCGGACCUUGCGCGAUCGAAUGAGCCCAUGUGGGAUUAGCUAGUUGGCGGGGUAAAGGCCCACCAAGGCGACUAUCCCUAUCUGGUCUGAGAGGAUGACCACCCACACUGGAACUGAGACACGGUCCACACUCCUACGGGAGGCAGCAGUGGGGAAUAUUGCACAAUGGGCGCAAGCCUGAUCCACCCAUGCCGCGUGUAUGAAAAAGGCCUUCGGUUUGAAAAGCAUUUUCCGCGGAGAAGAAGGCCAUGAUGUUAAUACCUGUUUGGGAUGACGUUACCCAAAGAAUAAGCACCGUCUAACUCCGUGCCAGCAGCCGCGGUAAUACAGAGGGUGCAAGCUUUACUCAGAAUUACUGGGCGUAAAGCACACGUGGUGGUCUGUUAGUCAGAUGUGAUACCCCCGGGCUCACCGAGAACUGCAUUUGAUACUGAGCGACUUUGUCGUGUAAGAGGGUA
rnacentral:rRNA from 1 species